GACGAACGCUGGCGGCAUGCCUAAUACAUGCAAGUCGAGCGAACAGAUGAAGUGCUUGCACUUCUGACGUUAGCGGCGGACGGGUGAGUAACACGUGGGUAACCUACCUAUAAGACUGGGAUAACUCCGGGAAACCGGGGCUAAUACCGGAUAAUAUUUUGAACCGCAUGGUUCAAUAGUGAAAGACGGUUGUGGCUGGUACUUAUAGAUGGACCCGCGCCGUAUUAGCUAGUUGGUAAGGUAACGGCUUACCAAGGCGACGAUACGUAGCCGGCCUGAGAGGGUGAUCGGCCACACUGGAACUGAGACACGGUCCAGACUCCUACGGGAGGCAGCAGUAGGGAAUCUUCCACAAUGGGCGAAAGCCUGACGGAGCAACGCCGCGUGAGUGAUGAAGGUCUUCGGAUCGUAAAACUCUGUUGUUAGGGAAGAACAAAUUUGUUAGUAACUGAACAAGUCUUGACGGUACCUAACCAGAAAGCCACGGCUAACUACGUGCCAGCCGCCGCAGUAA
rnacentral:rRNA from 1 species